GUGUUGUUUUAGCAGCACAUAUACUAGUACUGGAACAAUACAGAGAAGCUUAAUAUAAGCCCUGAGCAAGAGUGACACGAAUUCAUGAAGCAUUCUAUAAUUUU
rfam:Erinaceus europaeus unplaced genomic scaffold scaffold00012, whole genome shotgun sequence